rnacentral:ncRNA from 1 species
UAAAGUACUUCGAUAAGGACACGGUUUAAAAACCUACUUUUUCAGAGAGCGAAAAUGUUUGCUGUGAUUUUUCGCAUAAGUAAUUUUAAGCUACCACCUUUGAGUCUGCACAGGAAAUGGUGCGGCGUAUGACUGCGUUAAGGUUGUAAAGAGGGCAUAGUUAUUAUGCCAAAGUUGGGUGGAACCACGAAGUAUAUUCGUCCCGAUA